rnacentral:rRNA from 1 species
UCGUUGAUGAUCGGUGCUUGCACCGAGAUUCAACAUGGAACGAGUGGCGGACGGGUGAGUAACACGUGGGUAACCUGCCCUUAAGUGGGGGAUAACAUUUGGAAACAGAUGCUAAUACCGCAUAGAUCCAAGAACCGCAUGGUUCUUGGCUGAAAGAUGGCGUAAGCUAUCGCUUUUGGAUGGACCCGCGGCGUAUUAGCUAGUUGGUGAGGUAAUGGCUCACCAAGGCGAUGAUACGUAGCCGAACUGAGAGGUUGAUCGGCCACAUUGGGACUGAGACACGGCCCAAACUCCUACGGGAGGCAGCAGUAGGGAAUCUUCCACAAUGGACGCAAGUCUGAUGGAGCAACGCCGCGUGAGUGAAGAAGGCUUUCGGGUCGUAAAACUCUGUUGUUGGAGAAGAAUGGUCGGCAGAGUAACUGUUGUCGGCGUGACGGUAUCCAACCAGAAAGCCACGGCUAACUACGUGCCAGCAGCCGCGGUAAUACGUAGGUGGCAAGCGUUAUCCGGAUUUAUUGGGCGUAAAGCGAGCGCAGGCGGUUUUUUAAGUCUGAUGUGAAAGCCCUCGGCUUAACCGAGGAAGCGCAUCGGAAACUGGGAAACUUGAGUGCAGAAGAGGACAGUGGAACUCCAUGUGUAGCGGUGAAAUGCGUAGAUAUAUGGAAGAACACCAGUGGCGAAGGCGGCUGUCUGGUCUGUAACU